GAUUCAUAAUAACUUCUCGAAUCGCACGGCCUUGCGCCGGCGAUGGUUCAUUCAAAUUUCUGCCCUAUCAACUUUCGACGGCUGGGUCUUGGCCAGCCAUGGUGACAACGGGUAACGGAGGGUUAGGGCUCGACCCCGGAGAAGGAGCCUGAGAAACGGCUACUACAUCCAAGGAAGGCAGCAGGCGCGCAAAUUACCCAAUCCCGACUCGGGGAGGUAGUGACAAUAAAUACUGAUACAGGGCUCUUUUGGGUCUUGUAAUUGGAAUGAGUACAAUUUAAAUCCCUUAACGAGGAACAAUUGGAGGGCAAGUCUGGUGCCAGCAGCCGCGGUAAUUCCAGCUCCAAUAGCGUAUAUUAAAGUUGUUGCAGUUAAAAAGCUCGUAGUUGAACCUUGGGCCUGGCUGGCCGGUCCGCCUCACCGCGUGCACUGGUCCGGCCGGGCCUUUCCCUCUGGGGAACCGCAUGCCCUUCACUGGGUGUGUCGGGGAACCAGGACUUUUACUUUGAACAAAUUAGAUCGCUUAAAGAAGGCCUAUGCUCGAAUACAUUAGCAUGGAAUAAUAGAAUAGGACGUGUGGUUCUAUUUUGUUGGUUUCUAGGACCGCCGUAAUGAUUAAUAGGGACAGUCGGGGGCAUCAGUAUUCAAUUGUCAGAGGUGAAA
rnacentral:rRNA from 1 species